UCUCUGGUGGCUCAGAUGGUAAAGAAUCUGCCUACAAUGCAGGAGGCCCAGGUUCGAUCCCUGGAUUGGGAG
rnacentral:tRNA from 1 species